AUGCCGGAUGCUCCAGUUGGAUGCAUGUCCUUCUGGGAAAGAUUCAUCGGUAUGGGAUGGGGUCGCGUCCUAUCAGCUUGAUGGCGGGGUAACGGCCCACCAUGGCUUCGACGGGUAGCCGGCCUGAGAGGGCGACCGGCCACAUUGGGACUGAGAUACGGCCCAGACUCCUACGGGAGGCAGCAGUGGGGAAUAUUGCACAAUGGGCGCAAGCCUGAUGCAGCGACGCCGCGUGCGGGAUGACGGCCUUCGGGUUGUAAACCGCUUUUGACUGGGAGCAAGCCCUUCGGGGUGAGUGUACCUUUCGAAUAAGCACCGGCUAACUACGUGCCAGCAGCCGCGGUAAUACGUAGGGUGCAAGCGUUAUCCGGAAUUAUUGGGCGUAAAGGGCUCGUAGGCGGUUCGUCGCGUCCGGUGUGAAAGUCCAUCGCUUAACGGUGGAUCCGCGCCGGGUACGGGCGGGCUUGAGUGCGGUAGGGGAGACUGGAAUUCCCGGUGUAACGGUGGAAUGUGUAGAUAUCGGGAA
rnacentral:rRNA from 1 species